AAAUUGAAGAGUUUGAUCAUGGCUCAGAUUGAACGCUGGCGGCAGGCCUAACACAUGCAAGUCGAGCGGUAGCACAGAGAGCUUGCUCUCGGGUGACGAGCGGCGGACGGGUGAGUAAUGUCUGGGAAACUGCCUGAUGGAGGGGGAUAACUACUGGAAACGGUAGCUAAUACCGCAUAACGUCGCAAGACCAAAGUGGGGGACCUUCGGGCCUCAUGCCAUCAGAUGUGCCCAGAUGGGAUUAGCUAGUAGGUGGGGUAACGGCUCACCUAGGCGACGAUCCCUAGCUGGUCUGAGAGGAUGACCAGCCACACUGGAACUGAGACACGGUCCAGACUCCUACGGGAGGCAGCAGUGGGGAAUAUUGCACAAUGGGCGCAAGCCUGAUGCAGCCAUGCCGCGUGUGUGAAGAAGGCCUCGGGUUGUAAAGCACUUUCAGCGGGGAGGAAGGCGGUGAGGUUAAUAACCUCAUCGAUUGACGUUACCCGCAGAAGAAGCACCGGCUAACUCCGUGCCAGCAGCCGCGGUAAUACGGAGGGUGCAAGCGUUAAUCGGAAUUACUGGGCGUAAAGCGCACGCAGGCGGUCUGUCAAGUCGGAUGUGAAAUCCCCGGGCUCAACCUGGGAACUGCAUUCGAAACUGGCAGGCUAGAGUCUUGUAGAGGGGGGUAGAAUUCCAGGUGUAGCGGUGAAAUGCGUAGAGAUCUGGAGGAAUACCGGUGGCGAAGGCGGCCCCCUGGACAAAGACUGACGCUCAGGUGCGAAAGCGUGGGGAGCAAACAGGAUUAGAUACCCUGGUAGUCCACGCCGUAAACGAUGUCGAUUUGGAGGUUGUGCCCUUGAGGCGUGGCUUCCGGAGCUAACGCGUUAAAUCGACCGCCUGGGGAGUACGGCCGCAAGGUUAAAACUCAAAUGAAUUGACGGGGGCCCGCACAAGCGGUGGAGCAUGUGGUUUAAUUCGAUGCAACGCGAAGAACCUUACCUGGUCUUGACAUCCACAGAACUUUCCAGAGAUGGAUUGGUGCCUUCGGGAACUGUGAGACAGGUGCUGCAUGGCUGUCGUCAGCUCGUGUUGUGAAAUGUUGGGUUAAGUCCCGCAACGAGCGCAACCCUUAUCCUUUGUUGCCAGCGGUCCGGCCGGGAACUCAAAGGAGACUGCCAGUGAUAAACUGGAGGAAGGUGGGGAUGACGUCAAGUCAUCAUGGCCCUUACGACCAGGGCUACACACGUGCUACAAUGGCAUAUACAAAGAGAAGCGACCUCGCGAGAGCAAGCGGACCUCAUAAAGUAUGUCGUAGUCCGGAUUGGAGUCUGCAACUCGACUCCAUGAAGUCGGAAUCGCUAGUAAUCGUAGAUCAGAAUGCUACGGUGAAUACGUUCCCGGGCCUUGUACACACCGCCCGUCACACCAUGGGAGUGGGUUGCAAAAGAAGUAGGUAGCUUAACCUUCGGGAGGGCGCUUACCACUUUGUGAUUCAUGACUGGGGUGAAGUCGUAACAAGGUAACCGUAGGGGAACCUGCGGUUGGAUCACCUCCUUA
rnacentral:rRNA from 2 species